rnacentral:rRNA from 1 species
AACGAACGCUGGCGGCAGGCUUAACACAUGCAAGUCGAGCGCCCCGCAAGGGGAGCGGCAGACGGGUGAGUGACGCGUGGGAACGUACCUUUUGGUUCGGAACAACUCCGGGAAACUGGAGCUAAUACCGGAUAAGCCCUAACGGGGAAAGAUUUAUCGCCGAAAGAUCGGCCCGCGUCUGAUUAGCUAGUUGGUGAGGUAACGGCUCACCAAGGCGACGAUCAGUAGCUGGUCUGAGAGGAUGAUCAGCCACACUGGGACUGAGACACGGCCCAGACUCCUACGGGAGGCAGCAGUGGGGAAUAUUGGACAAUGGGCGCAAGCCUGAUCCAGCCAUGCCGCGUGAGUGAUGAAGGCCUUAGGGUUGUAAAGCUCUUUUGUCCGGGAAGAUAAUGACUGUACCGGAAGAAUAAGCCCCGGCUAACUUCGUG